rnacentral:snoRNA from 1 species
AGAUGUUAUGAUGAUAGCAAAAUGUUCAACUGCUCUGAAUUAAGCUGACUGAUAAUAGGCCUUCUGAACCAUCC